UGGGGAAUUUUGGACAAUGGGGGCAACCCUGAUCCAGCAAUGCCGCGUGAGUGAAGAAGGCCUUCGGGUUGUAAAGCUCUUUUGUCAGGGAAGAAACGGUAGUAGCGAAUAACUACUACUAAUGACGGUACCUGAAGAAUAAGCACCGGCUAACUACGUGCCAGCAGCCGCGGUAAUACGUAGGGUGCAAGCGUUAAUCGGAAUUACUGGGCGUAAAGCGUGCGCAGGCGGUUGUGUAAGUCAGAUGUGAAAUCCCCGGGCUCAACCUGGGAAUUGCAUUUGAGACUGCACGGCUAGAGUGUGUCAGAGGGGGGUAGAAUUCCACGUGUAGCAGUGAAAUGCGUAGAUAUGUGGAGGAAUACCGAUGGCGAAGGCAGCCCCCUGGGAUAACACUGACGCUCAUGCACGAAAGCGUGGGGAGCAAACAGGAUUAGAUACCCCAGUAGUCCCUGAGCGGGCUGGCAAGGCGCAU
rnacentral:rRNA from 1 species